rnacentral:rRNA from 1 species
GAUGAACGCUGGCGGCGUGCCUAAUACAUGCAAGUCGAACGCUGGAAAUCUAGCUUUGUGGGUUGAAGGAGUGGCGAACGGGUGAGUAAUACGUAAGCAACCUACCCACGAAUACUGGGAUAAUCUCGGGAAACGGGGACUAAUACCGGAUAGGUAAUCUGAAGCCAGGUUGUGAUUAUUAAAGUUUAAAGACUCUGGUGGGUGUGCUGAUGUCGCAUUAGUUAGGUGGGGAGGUGACGGCCCACGAGUAUGAUGAUGCGUAGCCGGGGUGGGGGGGUGAGGGGCCACAGUGGGACUGGGCCACGGGGCAGACUGCUACGGGAGGCAGCAGUAGGGAAGGUACGGCUAUGGGAGAAAGCCUGACGGAGCAACGCCGGGUGAGUCAUGACGGCCUUCGGGUUGUAAAGCUUUGUUGUAUAGGAAGAACGGUACAUAGAGAAUACCUAAAUGACGGUACCGUACAAGAAAGCAACGGCUAACUACGUG